rnacentral:tRNA from 1 species
GAGGGUAGAGCUCAAGUGGUAGAGUGCAUGCUUAGCAUGCAUGAGGUCCUGGGUUCAAUCCCCAGUGCCUCCA